rnacentral:lncRNA from 1 species
AAAAAAAAAAAAAAAUCAAGAACAAGAAUGAAUAAAACCAAGAUUGAAAGAAGUUACAUAAACAUGAUGAAAUUGUUUGAACGGCGAUGAUUAUGGAUAUAUAAUUAGAAAAGCAUGAAGGUUUAUGUAUAUAUAAGAACGAUCUAGAGAGCUCGACUUUUGAUGAUGUCAAGACUCAUCUCGCUCGGGUCAGUGGCUUGCAACUCCACCUGAAUCCCAUCUAGUUCUCUCUUGAACCUGUCCUUUGAACUAGCAUACACCAUCUUCAUCCUCACCCUCGAUGAAUCAGGUGACCUAUACGUACCAUACAUUAUGCAUCAUAUAUCACAUAACCAUAAUAAUCUAAUAUAACAUAGAAAAAUGUUAAGAAGUUGAAGUUACCAUGCUAUGAAGAAGAUCUUGCUCUUCUGGCAAUUCUCAGCAGUAGUGAAGUCGAAGUCGUAAACCGCGUAGCGGCAUUCGUUUGCUGGUAGGGAAUUGGAGAAAUCGUCGUAGUUCUCCUCGGGGCUUCCUAGCUUUUCCACCACCACUUGUUGUCCAUCUAUCCUGAAUAUUAUGAACCUAUAGUUUCUCUUAGCUUUUAGCUCCAAAAACUUCAGCUUACAUUCGUCCUCCACCGCCAUCCCUGACGCCGCGUUCGCCUUUUCAAACAAUCCAUAUCCAUGAGUUCAAGAUACAACAUAAUAAACACAUGGAUUUCGUCUACAACAUUCAUCUUUAUUCCACUUAUUUUUCGUAAAAUGCUAAACGUUAUGGUUCUAUUCUAGAAGGAAAAAAAAAAAGCACGAUUAAAAUAUGAAAAUGUAAAGAUUAAAGAGGCCAACGCAGACAAACAAACAUUGAAACGUCUAAAACACAAAUUCAUGCAUUACAAAUAGGAAGAAACUAAAGGAGAAUAGAGAACACACACCAUUGCGUUUGGUUGAUGCAAGUUAAAACCUAAGACAACAAAGAGAAAUGGGACUUCUUGUUUUUUUCUUGUUUUUGUCCUUUUUUGUGGGAAGAGAGAUGAAGAAUGAAGAAAAAAGGGAAAUGAGAAAUUUGGGGUAACAAGUGAUUAUUAAUUCGAUUUGAAGAGGCCAAUGGAGACGAACUCGGACAACCAUUCAUGCAUCUCCCUCUUAUAACAUCAAACCACACCUUUUUUUCCUCUUUGUCCUUCAAAGUCGCCUAACCAUCCUCUCUUUCCGGACACUUUAUCUACUCUAUUUUUAGCAUUUUCACAAUCCUUAUCCGGAACUAUGUCUAGCAUAUGUUUGACAAAUCGAUUUGUGGCUUGGUUCAUUCGGUUCUUGGUCGGGUUAUAAGUUUAUCUGAAACAGUAUUAAGUAUUAACUGUAUGGUUUCAAUACAUAACAUUGUUCUGAAUCUUAAAUAACAACUUGUUCCAACACACUCUAGAGGCAGAUUAAAGAACAACAAAAACGAGCUUUCCUACAAAACUGAUGAUCCUUUUAGAUCCUCUUGUUUCAAUUUGUGAUCAUCCGACGAAAUUGACAAUCUUUGGACCUUGUUUCUUUUUCUUCAUCUCGAUGAUCUUCUGAUCUGAAUCAUCAGAGAUCUUGCUGCUUUUUGGUUCUUCAGUGAAAUCGUCCUCUAGAUCGUCCCCACUAAACUUAGUGACCUUUCCUCUUGGUGUAGCAUCAAAUCCUGUCAUUUCAUGUAGGGUGAUACAGUUAUGGUCUUCAUAAGAUAAAGGAGAUUGCAUUUACUGUCUUGAAUCUUUUGGCAGACUAUUCAGAUGAAAGAGAAACUAGAAUUUUGAAGAAAAGCUCAAGAAUUGAAAGAGUGAAACAAAAGAAAAUAUUACUUGAACUCUUCUUUGGUGGGGCUGAUUCUUGGUUUAAUUUAUCGGGGCAGUCUUUGACAAGAUGCGCCACACUCCCGCACACUUUACAACACCCACCCUACAAAAGAAAUCCCCUCAAGAUUCAAUCUUCAGCAUAUCAAAACUCACCCUUUAUGAAGAAAAAAAAAGGCUCAAAACGAGAUUUGAGCACUUUACCAUUGGAUAGAUUCCAUGCUUGUUCUGAGGACAGUUCUUGCUUAUGUGCCCUUGUCCCUUGCAUAUGAAACAACUUGCAAAUUUGGUCCCUCCUACCAAGUAUCAAAACAAACUUAAUCUUAGUAACUUUUAAGAAGCAAUGCUUUUAAACUCUACGAAUAACAUGAACUACACUACAGACCAUCAGUCAAGUAUCUGUGUACAUACAUAUCUCCAGGACUAUUGACUAGUAAAAUCAACAACUCUUGAUGUAUUGUUAACGAAAAAGUACUGUUAACUCUCCAAAUAACAUGAACAUUGUGUAUUCUGAAGUAAAACAAACAACUACUCAGACAACUUUUCUUCAAAUCUUGUAAUAGGUAACACGAUAAUCUUUCUGAUCCAAAUGUAACACAUACUAGCUGACAAGAGACAAUAACGAGACAUACUUACCAUCUUCCAGAGGGUAAGGACAACGAGAAAGUGAAUGGCCAGUAUCACCACAAUUGUAACAAAGCUUCUUCUCAACGCUGUCAUCUUGCUUGUCAGGGCAGUUUUUAAGACUAUGCCCUCUUCUCCUACAUUGCAAGCAUAUCUACAAGCAAUAGAACAAACAUCAACUGUAGUGAUCAUUAAAGUAUCAACAUUCAGAUUCUUGGCUCCAAGUGAUGUACAAAAUAAAGUAAAAACCUAACCAUGAAAAGAUUCAUCUUUUGAAUUCAUAAUGAACAAAACCAAACUCAAUUACAACAAAAAAAGACCUUUCAACUUAACUAAACCCUCAAUUUGAUUCUAACAAGAGCUCCCAAAACUAAACUGAACCAAAACCAAUGACUAAAGAAGAACAAUACAGAAAAGAACAAACCUUGUUUCUCUCCCACUCAGACUUUUCAGGACAGAGCUUAGCAAUAUGGGUUUUAGAGUGACAGAUAAAACAGCCUUCUCCAGGCUUCAUACCAGGAACUCGGAGAGGAUGCCUCGAAGAUGAGCCUUUUCUCUGAGGUCUAUCAGUGGAAGAUCCAGGUUUCUUCUUCUUGAACAAGCUCUUCUUCUUCUUCUUCUUAUUAGGGUCCUUUGGUGGUGUUGGUUCUGCUUUAGGAAACAGCUCUGGAUUAGCUUCUUUGUAUCGCUUCUGAGCAAGUCUUCGCCUUUGGUUCACCAUUCUCGACUAAACUGUAUACAGAGAAAGAGAACGAUUGAUUUUGCCGGCGGCGAUAGAGGCAGAGGAAGACACAGUUGUUUNNNNNNNNNNNNNNNNNNNNNNNNNNNNNNNNNNNNNNNNNNNNNNNNNNNNNNNNNNNNNNNNNNNNNNNNNNNNNNNNNNNNNNNNNNNNNNNNNNNNNNNNNNNNNNNNNNNNNNNNNNNNNNNNNNNNNNNNNNNNNNNNNNNNNNNNNNNNNNNNNNNNNNNNNNNNNNNNNNNNNNNNNNNNNNNNNNNNNNNNNNNNNNNNNNNNNNNNNNNNNNNNNNNNNNNNNNNNNNNNNNNNNNNNNNNNNNNNNNNNNNNNNNNNNNNNNNNNNNNNNNNNNNNNNNNNNNNNNNNNNNNNNNNNNNNNNNNNNNNNNNNNNNNNNNNNNNNNNNNNNNNNNNNNNNNACCUUGCUCGAAAAGUAAUAUUAUUUACUAAAACAAAUAAACAAUAUAUUUGAUCAGUCGAAAUGGUGUCAUGUUUUAGAUCUAUUAGAAAAUUUGAUAUAAAUUAUUCAAUGAAUACACACACACGUGCUAGAAGAAUUAGUCGGGUGAUGAAAACUUGGUUCUCACUUGAUUUUUUUAUUUUUUUUAAUUAUGUGUAGAUCAAGUCGAUUAUUAUUAAAAGCUUGACAUGUUACAUGUGGUUUUGGCUUUUGGACUUUCUUAAUCAAAUUAUUUAGGUCUUAAUUUUCAGUUUAUAAAACUUUUCUAUCCUAAAAUUAAUGCAUGGUGGCUUAAAUCAAAAUUUAGAACAGAGUCAGAGUCAAAGAAUUGUUUAAGAUAAUGUCCUGCCUAACUUUACUACAUAAGCAUGGCAAAACUUAUCCCACUGUAUGAAAAUAUAUCCCUUAACCACGGCAUCAACUAAGAACGGGCACAUGGCACGAUCAAACAAAAGUGAAACCGUUAUUUACUCUUUUCCAAUGAGAAAAAAAAGAAAGAACUCAAAUUAUUGGAUCAUAUAUAUAUAAUAUAAGACGUUACUCGUACAUAUAAGUUGUACAAGAACGCGCAUGCACCUAGCUACUCUCUCACCAUCUCUUAUGCGUCGUGAAGUGUUUUAUAAAAUUAAGCAAAAACAUAAAAAAGAUGUAAUUAUACAAAACAUCGAACUUUGAUUAUUCUCUUCGGAAAACUCAUGACAUGAUACGUGUUGAUCUCCAUCUCCCUUUAUCUUUUGCCUUGAUCAAUACGGUGUUGGUGCCGGGACAGCAGGCAAAGGGUACAUUGAAGUAGCCGGCUCCGGUGCCGGCACAGCAGGCAUAGGGUACAUUGAGGUAGCCGGCUCCGGUGCCAUCACAGCCAAGCUGACCGGACCAACUGGUCCAAGAGUGUCCAUUGCAAUACCUGAGCUCCUAAUUUCUGACAUUGCUCUUCUUGUCUUCCCUUCUUGUGAUUCACAUAGCUUUGGCAAAAACACUCCUAUAUGUGUAAACCAAAAAAACAUAAUUAAACAAAUUUUUACUGAAGCAAAAUAGUAACUUAAACCGAACCGGUAUCUUAACACCGUACCUUCGCCAGCAGCAAGGUUGAAGAAGAGGUCAACGACGUUAGGGCAAUGGUUUAAGCAUUUAACCGAGCAGAGCUUCUGCGUGAACCGAGAUUCCAACAAUGCGUCCGAAGAUAUACCUAAAGAUUUACGGUCUAGACCACAAGCGUUAAUGCACUCGUUUGAUUCAACGAUGUUCGUGACCUUGUCCGAUUCUAUCCCGGAUGAUCUACACGAGUACACCUCGAUCCCACUCCUCCUCAUGCUCUUCUCCAAAACGCAGCGUUUUCCUGUCGCCGAGACCGCGAAAGCGCACGUGUCUUCGUCCAGAUUCUCGCACUUCACUUCGCUCCCUACAAAAUUGAUCCCAAUGCUACUUAACAUUUGUACAUGCUAAUCAAUAUAAGCAUUGCUCAAUUUUAACGACGAAAAUUUCAAAAUGUUUAUAAUAGAAUUACCACCAUUUAAGAUAGAUCUCUAGUGUAAAUCUUACUCCUAAGAUACUACCAUUAAUGAUGCUUUUAUAUAUAGCUUGUAUAUACUUGUUCAUAAUUUUGAUAUAGAUCAUAGCGAAGAAACUUACCAAGCGUCGUUUGAGAAUAGAUGGCAAGGAGAAGCAUAGAAGUAGCAAAUACCAUCUUCAAAGCCAUGUUGUGAAGUGGAGACACAAAGAGAAUGAGAAAAUAAAUGUUGUAUGAGGAAAUUUUCUUUUGAGUGUGGUUAUAGGUGUUGUAGCAAUAGCCUAUUUAUAGAGGGAUAAUAAAGCGAUACUUUUAAUUUUAAAAAUAUUAGAAAAAAACAAGUUAUUCAAUUUUUAAUGAGUAACGACAAUACUGUUUGACAAAUGAAACACCAAGGAUCGGAGAGUUUACAUCAAUAGUCACUGAAAAGUCGUAGUUAAUUUAGUUAGGCAAAAAAAAACUUUGAUUAAUCAACAAAACAAAUAUUUUUCAUCUUAAUAGAAAAGUACAUCACAUGGAAAAAUGUUUGGCUUGACAAAAUCAAAUACAAUGCCGUUGUUAAUGGCGAAGAUCAUGCAGUCAAAUUAAAGUCGAGAUGUGAAACCUUGACUUACUUUUUCCUAAAAUCUGGCAUAAAACCAUCUUCUCCAUAGGUAAUGAUUUUAGUGGACUAUUGAGUUUUUUCUUUUUAAUCUUAAUUUUAUAAAUUUAUAGACCAAAGAAAGAAAACAUGUAGUGUAGAACUAUAUAAAAAGUCGUACGUAAGCUUUCAUUAUGGUAUUUUAAAAAUAAUUUAAUAGGGGAUCUCUUAUUAUUAAUACUGUAAUGAAUAUAAUUACAUAAUGAGGUGAGAAAAGUAGUUUGGGAUGAAAGAAACAAAAGAGAUGUUAAUGUUUCACCGUAAAUGACGGCAUAGACUUGAGACGUGGAGAAUGAUGCCAAGUCUUGUACCAUGAUUUUUCGUCAGUGAAACUUUAUUCAUUCUAAGGACAGUCACGAGUCGUCGUCCUUAUUAAUUAGAUAUUAGUAGGAUACACACAUAGAUCCAAAAUUCUGUUGUCCAGAAAUUUAUACUAGACGUUAAAAAUUUUACAUGAAACAUGGUUAUGGUUACAUUACAUAUAAACCGAACAAAAGCGACUUUGUCUGUUUUUGAGGUUCUAUCACUUGUAAGAAGGCCGACAUACAAUUUAUAAAUCUCCUAGAUGAUCUUGAUGCGAUGGCCUUAGCGACCUAGCUCAGGGAGUCUAUAGUACCGGCUAGCUUCGUUUGAGAAGAACAUGUAACCUAAUGCAUUAGUACUAUUUAUCUCCGGAUCUUGUGGAAUACCAUAUCAUUUUUUUUUCUAUUUGGUAAAAUCAUAAUUGAUAUCAUGUACAGUAGCAAGAUAUGAUGUCGAUUUUUUUUUCUUUUGUUACGUGUCACAUUUAGAAUUAGGAGAUUUUAAUAUGUUUCGGUACAGUUAGGAAACUUCCAUAUGUUUCCUCGACAAAGAAUAAAACUUGCCAUGUUCCCAACCUCUGCGUCUUUAUUAUAUGAAAACAGUCCUAUAUGUUUUCAUGUGGUUAGCGGUUUACUAAAGUCUCACCAUAUUUAAUUUUGGCCAUGCAUCGUGUCAUUUCACCAAUGGUACACAAACUCUCUUUUUAGUUUUUAUCUUGGACUGAACCAUGAAAACGUGAUAGUGACAGGAAAAUUGUUACUAUUAUACAAAUGACCUAUCUUCCAUAUGCAUGUGAUGUAUACUCACAUACAAUACAAUUACGCAAGUAUUAUCAGUAACACAUUUCAACCAUGGGCCGGCAGACGGAAUAAGCCCAAUCCAAUCACAUGCAAUAUACACAAGUAUUAUCAGUUUUCGCAUAUAUACUGAAAAUUAUUAGUCCUAAAUGGGUAUGUCGGCCGAUACACUUAUCCUUUGAGACAAGACAAUCAUGUACUACUUUAAGACAAUGUCUGGCUGAUAGAAUAUCUAAGGAUAAUAUAAUUUCACUGAUGAUUAUGUAUCNNNNNNNNNNNNNNNNNNNNNNNNNNNNNNNNNNNNNNNNNNNNNNNNNNNNNNNNNNNNNNNNNNNNNNNNNNNNNNNNNNNNNNNNNNNNNNNNNNNNNNNNNNNNNNNNNNNNNNNNNNNNNNNNNNNNNNNNNNNNNNNNNNNNNNNNNNNNNNNNNNNNNNNNNNNNNNNNNNNNNNNNUUCUAUACGCAUGUACAUGGAAUCAAACAAGCGUACGUAAAUGAUUUCCUCGUGUUAUAGAGAACCAAACAUUUUGACCGGAAACAACGUUUUUGACCUUCAAGUUAAUUAUUCCUUCCUUGCAUCUCUUACUAACACAUACAUGGACAAAUUCUAUUACUUAAUUACGAUCCCGAUAAAAAGACUCUUAUCCUUCUUUUAAAUCUUGUUUGGAUUGUUAUAUAUGUCAUAGAUGACAAACAUAUUGUAUAUGGUUUAGCCUCUUGUGAGUUAUUUCCCCUACUUCAGAAUUCUUUUGUAAGCGAUCGGUCGGUACAUUCUUGUUUUGGAGUGUUGGAGAACUAAUAGCGUACGUAGAUGAAAACAUACUCAGAUAAACCCAGUUGGUUCAGCUGACAAAAUAUUGUUCUUGUACUUACUACCGAACCGCACUGAAAGACAUUGACUGGGAUCAUGAGAACGAGACUCAUGUCUCUUAACAUGUAAGGGAAUCAAGAAACGAAACCUAUCCCCUUUGAGUUUGGUAUUAUAAAGACGUUAGACCAUAUUUGAAUCCAUUUUCUAACAAAACAGGUUUUCUCAUAAAAUAAAUAGAAGAAUUGUCAAAGAGUAGGGGAAGUUGGUUAUGUUUGUAUACUAGUCUUGACUCACUCAUUCCAAAAAAUAAACAAGAAAUUAUUAUAUUUAGGAAUUAGUUUUAUAUAAAAUAAUUUUCAUUGUUUUUUUGGGGUUUUAAAUUAGUGUAUUUUUAUGAAAAAAUGAGAAAAUAAUUGUUAAAUUAAUGUAAAUUAGUUGAAUGGAGAAAAAACUAUGAAGUUUUGAAGACCGUUUGUUUUGGUUAACAAAACACAAUUCAAAUAACUUAGCUUAUAAAUGCGUGCGUCAGCACUGAUGAUUAAAGUUUGUCAAUAUAACUUAUCGCGUCAGCAAUGAUCGAUGAAUCAAUUAUUUCGAUCAACACAACGAGUAACAUGUUGGUUAAAAUCAUGAAAGCGAUCGAUAGAUAGAGCUACUAGACAGCAGAAUCAACUUGUGUGGAUGGAACGAGUUACUUUAUCGAAGGAUUCUUGGAAAUUCAUCAAAAAUGGUACAUAUCUAAUAUUACAAAACAUAAAUUUAAAUAUUAAAAUUUUUAUAAACAAAAAUAAAAGGUUAUUUGUUAGGGACAUUCCAAAAAAAUGUUCUGCUUUGUUAAUCAUCAUGAUCUCUGAAAUUCAUGCUUUAAGCGAUAAUUAUUGAAACGUCGAUCAUGGUUAAUUUAUCAAGUUAUGAGUAAACUAUUGGUUACAAAUGGCAUGAGAGUCUAAAGUAUUUUUGGAAGUCGUUACACAGUAGGUCAUAAAUAUUGUACAGAUUUUUUUUUUGCCCUAGUUUCAAAUAUGACAAUAAUGAUUUUGACGAAACUAAAAAUUUAUCAUAUGCAUGUUCACAAUAUCCUUUCAUAUGGUACACAUUUAUGGGUGGCAAAGUUAUAUGAGACACUUAGAAUUGAAACACAAUCAUGGUUAAUGAUGAAAUUAAGCAUAACUUCUAAAUGUUUUCUCUCACAUAAUCCAUGCAUGUAACCCCAAGAUGCUCUAAGUAAUCAUGAUCCAUGUGUUGACAAAAAAAAAAGAGAUCAUGAUCCAUGCAACCCAAAGAAAAAGGGUAAAUGUUUUAAAUUGAGAGAAUCAUGUACUGUCACAUGUACUCAGCUUUAAACGGUAUAACGUAUUAAAAUGGUGGUAUUUUCAAUUUAAAAGAUUGGUACGUAGGAUAUUGUAUAUACUCAUUGGCUUAUUUUCAAUUAUUAAUUGAAGCUUCUUUAGUAGUAACGUGAUACACGUGGGAAAACGAAGGAAGAGACAACAUAUACGUAUUUUUAUGUUCUAAAAGUAUCUAGUUGUUAAGACGCAUUUANNNNNNNNNNNNNNNNNNNNNNNNNNNNNNNNNNNNNNNNNNNNNNNNNNNNNNNNNNNNNNNNNNNNNNNNNNNNNNNNNNNNNNNNNNNNNNNNNNNNNNNNNNNNNNNNNNNNNNNNNNNNNNNNNNNNNNNNNNNNNNNNNNNNNNNNNNNNNNNNNNNNNNNNNNNNNNNNNNNNNNNNNNNNNNNNNNNNNNNNNNNNNNNNNNNNNNNNNNNNNNNNNNNNNNNNNNNNNNNNNNNNNNNNNNNNNNNNNNNNNNNNNNNNNNNNNNNNNNNNNNNNNNNNNNNNNNNNNNNNNNNNNNNNNNNNNNNNNNNNNNNNNNNNNNNNNNNNNNNNNNNNNNNNNNNNAAAAAAUAAUGAUAUUUCAUAAAUUGAAUCAAGUGCUUUUAAUCCAAAUUUGAGUUUUGACAAAUAAUAAUUAAAGAGAAAAUAAUUACAAUAUUUUUUGAAAAUCAAUUAAAAAAUAAUAAAAUAUCACAAUAUGAAUAAAAAAUCAACGAAACAAAAUUAUAAACCUCCCGCGCGGAGCGCGGGUCCACUGCUAGUAUUAUAUAAACUAAUCAUGUCUAUGUGUAUUGGUUCUAGCUUACAUAUAUAGAGUUUGACUUGAAUCCAGAUGAUUACUUAUUAAUGUGAAUUAUAGAGUUUGACUUGCUUCGAAGAAUUCCAAGUUUAUGGGAUUUAAAAUAACGAUACAAUCCAUAAACCUUUAUAAGUCAAAAAUCCGCCGACCACUCUCGGUUAUGUAAGUGAUAAAAAUAUCGAAAUACAUUUACAUUUAUUUGUUAUGUGAUCCAUGAUAUAAUCAUCAUCACACGAGAUAAAUAUUUUAAAACCCUUUUCGUGGUUGACAAAUUCACAAAGAUUCGCCGGCCUUUGGAUUGGAGGGCGAUCUAUAUAAAUUCAUGUCGGUACAUUUUUACCAUUUUCAGUAAUUUAUACCAAGUUUUACACUAAAAACUCUCUUUCUGUACUAUUAAUAGAAUUUGAGGUUAUAUAUAAUACAAGUUAAGUUCAAGAAACUGUCAGGCACUAAGCGGUGAUAAUCCAAUAUCUAUCGUUUCGAACGCCUAUUUAGAGUUUAAACGAUUUUAGGCAGUUUAGACAUUUAAAACAUUAAAAACUUAUAAAUAUGAUACUAUUUAUAAAAGUUAUAAAAAAUUAUAUUACAGAAUAAUAUAUUACAAUAUUACCGUAAAUAAAAACUAAUCAAAACAAUCUAUUUAAUUCAUAUCAAACAACAUACAGUAUAUAAGCAAUUAUAAUUAUAUAUAUAUAGGGAAACUUAGAUUUUUCUUUUUUUUUUUAAGAUGAAAAUUGAUAAUAAAAUAAAAUAAUAAGACAUGCAAAUUUAGAUAGUGAAGAUGGUCGUUUAUGCAUGUAGCAUCUAAACGCUUAGCGUUUAUACUAAACCUAAAAAACCGUGCGUAUAUACCAUUUUUUGGAACACUUGUAUUAGUGUGUCUAUGCAAUUUCCAAAACUUCAUAGCUUUUGGUUUUGUAUGAAUCGAGUAAUGAUAUUGAUUGCGGUGUAUCAAGUUUUAUGAUAUGGAUGGAUUAUGAGAUGUAAUCAUUUUUAGCUUAUUCGGACCAUUCUACACGGUGCAAGUGUGUGUGUACUAACCCAUGUACGUGUAUAUCUACUCUAGAGAAACAAAUAUCCAUAAAUAAAGAACUUAAAUGGGUAAGCAGUGAAUGUUAUGGUAUCGAUGGCUAAGUGGACCCUUAAACAAGACUGGCCUCAAGAACAAAUACAAACAACUACUUAUGGUUUCAUUCACAUGAGUUUUAGUGUUUAAAUCAACAUAUACGACAACGUAUGUCACAUGCUUGUCGCUGAUCGUAAUACUUUCAAUAUUCCAUUAAUCAGAAAAUGACAAAGUGUUAGUCUUUCAACAAAAAAGAAAGAAAUUAAGAUAAAGUGUAGCGUAGCGUGACACUGUUGUAAGUUGUAACACUUAGAUUUAAAAUUAUUUUAAAUUUAUUCCUAAACGCAUAUCUCAUGUUCUUUGUGUGUGUGUGUCUUAUGUUUUAGAACAGUCAAAGAUUUCAAUAUAUGAUUGAUGGUACUAAUGUUUCACCAAUUUUCGCACUAUUGAUGCAAAGAUUAGACUCAUCUAAUGAAACGUACGUAGAAGAACAAAUAGAGAUUUGCAUCUAUACAAACCAAAUCUUUUUAAAAAGAUUAGUUGUUUGUUAAAGGGGAAAAAAAAACGGCUGUUUAAAGAGGACCUAUAUGUCGUAUUUGUCAGAUCUUGUGUUCUUAUUUAGUAUGUUUUGUCAGGUCUUGUGUUCUUAGUACAAGUCGUAUCAGCUCGACGCGUGUGAUUAAAAAAAUGGUUCAUAGACUCAUAGUUCAUACGCGAAACCUUUGACUAUUUUGCUCGAUCUUAAGCUCGUUACUUAAAACCAUAUAUUAUAUAAUAUAUGAUAGUUACAAUAUGUUAAUAUAUAUCUUCAUGAUCCGUAUAACUAAUCUAUGCAUGUAUAUUAUAAAAAGCACAUGUGCCUUCUUCUUCUAGUUUUUGUCAACUGCAAAAAAAAAAGGACAAAAGAAGAAGAUGUGUCCUACUGAUAUUGAGAUCCCUGAGUGGUCCAUGCCUGAUAUAACACUGUUAUGUGGUUUGUGUAAUAAGAUUGUAGAUUGAUGUGUGGCUUGAUCUAAUUUGGGCUAACAGAUUGGAGACUAAGGGUUUCACAUUGAACUGUUAGAGCAUUUAAGAGUCAUUCUCACUAUUGCAGUUAGGUAGUGACAGUGAUCGAUUUCACAUAUAUAUAAUAUUGGGUCCAAUUCCAAAAAAAACUAUAUAGCAGCUAGCUAGAGCAUUUUCACAUGUACAAAUUUCACUUGAUUGUGAUUGCAUGAACGCGUAAAAUAUAUUUUAGAUUGUGUUUAGAACUAGAAUACCGAAGUAUUCUACUUUUUACCAACCGACCUUUUAAAUCUUUAAUCUAAAUGAGCAUAUAUAGUGGUAUUUUAUUUUACAUACUUACAUUGUACAAAACGUAUAAGUUUGUGAUGGAACCGUGGAAUACUGUAAGACUUCGUUAAGUUAGAACUCAAUAGAUUAAUAAAUAUUGUUAUAGAAUCUGAUAUUUAUGCGUAACUCAUUUUUAAAGUAUUAUUAUAUUUUAGUCAACUUCAUCAACAAACACUAAAACCCAUCUUUGUAAGUAAGAACAUUUUUCAUAUAUAUUUUUUAUGUUUAUUGUUAUAACAUAAAUAGCCUAAUAGUUUUAUUAACGAAUAUUUUAUUGUGACUGAAAAAAUUAUUAAUCAUUAAAUUUUAUAAAUUUGUUUUCACUAAGUGAAGGUAAAAAGAUAUAUAUAUUAAAAAAAAAAUUGAAAGGAAACUGCGAAAAAAUUCAAGAAAGUAAAAAACCAAAGAAGAUUAAUGUUAAGGAAAAUUUCACAAGUCAAUAAAUAUUAGUUUAACAAUUAAUGUAAAUUUUCAAGUAAGAAGAUAAGUUAAAUAUGGUCUCAACAGUAUCAAUUUAUAGAAGUUGUACCGUCAAUAUUAUUUUUUUCUGUUUAUGUCUUACAAAUGCAUAUACAAAACCUAAAUAACAAAAUUACAUAAAAAGGCAAAAACGUGUAUAAGCUAGUUUAGCGAUUCAAAUUAAAAACGUAGUUACUAGUUACAACCAAAGUAAUACAGAAAAAAAACGUUAUAACGUAAAUAGUAAUUUAUUCUUUGAGAAAGAAAACAAUAUUAAUAUUUUUUUCAGUUGAAAAAAAAAAAGAUAAAAAUUAUUGUGUUUAUAAUUUUUUUUUUUGCCAUUUAAGAUUAAAAGACAACAAAAUAGUACUUACCAUUCACAUCACUUUCAUGGUAUUCAAAAAAGCAGCCGGAGAUGCAAACUAAGCAAGAAUACUAUAGAGAUAUGGAAAAAGACAAAUAGGCAAAAAUGCCGAUAAUGUUUGACCAAGAAAUGGUAAAGAAACGUUAUAUUAUGUUAUGUGCAACAUAAGCUAAACUAUAAUAAAAUAAAUAAAAAUACAAUUGAUGAGAAGAGAGAGUCUAUUGGUCAAAACUCUGACAUUCUUUUACCAAAAACAUCUAUAAAUACUUCAUUUCGUUCAUUCUCAUAUUUCACCAGCAAACAUUCUCAAUACAACAACACAUAUUGCACCUAUACCACUUCCUCAUAUACAAUUUCCUCACAAAAAAUACGAAAUACACGCAUACGUAUAUUUUUUUGUUCUUGCACAUAUAAAUACUUUGGAGAGACCGGGAUGGAGUUUCUUGAUGAGGUGUCUCGAGUUUGGUACAUGUUCUUCUACGUGUUCGUCCUAGUUCUUUGCCUUAUGUUCUUCAAGCUCUUUCUACGUUGCUGGAUUUUGCCAGUUCGUACUCAAAAGAAGCUUAGAGAGAACGGUUUCUUAGGUCCGCAGCCUAGUUUCCCAUUUGGAAACCUUAAUGACAUGAAGAAGCUGAAGAUGGCUUCGGUAAUGGUCAAUAACAGCAAAUCUUCCACCAUGAUCAACCAUGACAUACACUCCAUUGCACUUCCACAUUUCGCUCAGUGGCAACAAGAUUACGGUAAUUACUAAUUAAUCUCCAUUCUCGUAUAUAUUUAGUUCCGGACGUUCAUAACCAUAUGACCGGUUUGGCUACCAGCAUUAUUAUUAUAUAUAAUUACUAACGUAUUUACGUUUUACGUGACGCAGGGAAAGUGUUUGUUUACUGGCUAGGGAUAGAGCCGUUCGUGUACAUAGCUGAUCCUGAAUUCUUGAGUGUUAUGUCGAAAGGUGUAUUGGGGAAGAGUUGGGGAAAACCAAAUGUUUUCAAGAAAGACAGAGAGCCAAUGUUUGGUACCGGUUUGGUUAUGGUCGAAGGGGAUGAUUGGACACGACAUCGUCACAUUAUAACUCCUGCUUUUGCACCUCUUAAUCUUAAGGUACAAAACUUUAAUUUUGUCUCCGUUUACAUUGGCAAGAGUCCAAAUUGUAGAAAAUUAAUAGGGUGACUAAUCUAGUUCAACAAUUUAGACUUUAUUCAUAGUCCUUUGCCAAAAAGCAUGAGCCACCAUUUAUCAUGAAAGAUAAAUUUCAAGUUCUUAUGGUGUUGAAAAAACUAUUGAAUUUUUUUUAUUAGACUCAUUCAAUUCAAAGUGUCAUAGUAGACUAUUUCUCAUUUUCUCAUUACUUUCCACUGAUCGUCUACAUUACCAGGCAAUGACAAACAUGAUGGUGGAAUCAAUCUCCAACAUGUUGGAUCGAUGGACAAUACAAAUAAACUCGGGCAACCCCGAAUUCGACAUGGAAAGCGAGAUCAUAGGAACAGCUGGUGAGAUCAUCGCCAAGACAAGCUUCGGAGUAACUGGAGAAAAUGGAACUCAAGUUCUCAAAAACCUAAGAGCUGUGCAGUUCGCUCUCUUCAACUCAAACCGCUACGUAGGCGUACCGUUCAGCAACAUUUUGAGUUUCAAGCAAAACGUUAAAGCUAAGGAGCUAGGCCGAGAGAUCGAUGGUCGCCUUUUGUCCUUCAUAAACGAACGGAAGAGGUCUUUGGUCAAAGGUGACGACCAAGGCCACGAUCUUCUCGGAAUGUUGCUUAAGGCGGACCGUACAGGGAAUUUUACUGCAAAAGAGCUGGUGGACGAAUGCAAAACGUUCUUCUUCGCUGGCCACGAGACGACGGCUUUAGCACUGACGUGGACGUUCAUGCUUCUUGCGAUCCAUCCCGAGUGGCAAAACACGAUUAGGGAAGAGAUUAGACAAGUCAUCGGAGAUUCCAAGAUUGAAUACAACAAACUUGCCGGACUAAAGAAGGUACGUUACCAAACAACAGUACACAACAAUCCACGUGCUUUAUUAUUUGCAUGCAUAACAUUAUAUUUGGACGCGUUCACAAAAAGAUUGUGUACAAUUUGGCAAUUGGCAUGUUCACAUUUUCUUAGAUUUUUUUUAGUGCACGUAAACUUGUGGAUAUUAAUGGGGCAUUGAUACUAAAUACUACAUAAUUAAUAUACACCUUAAGUAUAAUUAAAAUCUAAUUAAUAUACACAUCUGACCACUGUGGUCAAAGUCUAAAGUCACAAAAGAAGUCAAAAUCUACGAAAUGUAUCAAAGCAUAGAGGCGCGUCGCCUCUCUAGAUCAAAACUAGUCAACGACUGCGCUGACCAAUAAGUGAUGCACCACGUAAUCUCAUAUCCACUCAUAAUUGCAUAUUAUAUAUGUUUUUUUAUCCAUGACAAAAACGUGUGACACAAGUAUCUUUAAUUAUAUAACACCUUUAAUUAAAAAUUAAUCAAAUCACUUACCUCUUGAUUUGUUUGUGUAUAUAUAUAUAUAUAUAUUAACGAAUUUGUGAUAAUUGAAUGCAGAUGAGUUGGGUGAUGAACGAGGUUCUCAGGCUAUAUCCACCGGCGCCGAACGCACAACGGCAAGCUAGGAAAGACAUCGACGUGAACGGCCGAGUGAUUCCGAACGGAACUAACAUUUGGAUCGAUGUGGUGGCGAUGCACCACGACGUCGAGCUGUGGGGAGACGAUGUUAACGAGUUUAAGCCGGAGAGAUUCGACGGCGAUUUGUACGGUGGUUGUAAGAACAAGAUGGGUUUUAUGCCGUUUGGGUUCGGAGGGAGGAUGUGUAUCGGUCGGAAUCUGACGACCAUGGAGUACAAGAUUGUCUUGUCGUUGGUUUUGUCCCGGUUCGAAAUCUCGGUUUCGCCCGGUUAUCGUCAUUCGCCGACGUAUAUGCUCUCUCUUAGACCGGGUUACGGUUUGCCUCUCAUUGUUCGACCAAUUUAGUUUGGGGGGAUCGGAUUUAACACACAAAUUUCAUUUCAUUUUUCGAGUUUUAAUUAGGAUCGUUGCAAAAUUUUUAUUUCGUUUGUCGGCAGAUCAGAAUGGUCUCUGAGUUUUAAGUAUAUUUGUACACAUGUGUCUUUGUUUUUCCCGAUUUGGGAAUACAUAUACCUCUUCUUUUGUUUCUUUGGAAUUUCACUAAUUAAUACAAAUAAAUAUACAAUUUGUGGCUUUGAAUGGUUUGGUCCCUGAUCGGACAAUGUGGUACCAAUUUUAGUAAGCAAAACAUUGGAUCGUAGUAAGGAGUAGACAAAUAGUAUACACUACGAGCCUUCAAUAUAGCCCAUAAAUAUAUAUUGAAGGCUCUUUUUGUUUUUGGAACUAAAUGCAAUAUCCUAAUUAAGAUGGGUAGAAUUUGAAAGUGGUAGAUAUCAGAAGGGUAUUUUUCUAAUUAUACGAAAGGUUCGUAUCACGUUUCUCGUCUCGUCUGUCUCUUGAAGCAACGAACCAACGAAAAGCGUAAAAUGUAAUCGUCUGAGGAAAAAUCUUAAGUUCAUGCGAUUUUUUCUUGGUAGUGAACUAUGGCGUCUACAAUGGCGACAUGGACACCAAGCUCUCUCCAGCUCAGAAUUGCCCUUAAUUACGGUAGCUUCAAAGCUCCGGCGAGAGCGAAGAUGACAAAGCUCAGUCGCCGUCUCCGGAUAUCAUCAAGCGUUGCGCAGAACGCUGAACCGGGCAGCGAUUUGGUUGAGAGUAAUGGGUCGGAUCAGUUUCGUGGGUGGGCUGAUUCGGGAGACGACGACGAGAACACUACCGAUUCUCGCGGUGGCGAUUGGUUUAAAGGUACGGACUUUGAUUACAAGUGUUGGGCUUUAAUUUUUAGUUUAAUUGCUCUCUAAGUUAGUCUUGAUGAGGAUUUGUUGAAGGAAUUUGAGUUUUUUUUUUUGCAGGAACCUUGUUAUCUGGAGUGGCUGGGAUGGUUCUGUUUGUUGGAAUAACUUACGCAGCUUUAUCUUUCAAGCGUAAUGUUUUAAGUAUGUACUUUAAUCUUCGUUUAGUUUGAGAUUAAACAUCAGAAUUGAUACAAUGUAGUUGAUACCAACAAGUUAAGUUUGUCAAUUUUUUGGUGAAUUGUUUAGGACCAAAAGUAGAAGUUAUGGUGGUCACUGUAGCUGAGAGUUCAGGUGAUCAACUCAGCACGGUUGGUGAUGAGGGAAGUGAUGUAACGGAACAAGAUAAGCAGGAAGGCUAUAGAGGUAUGGACACGAACGUUUUAGCUUCUUUUUAUCUUUAGAUAUUUGACAUACCAACGUUUGAUAGAUCUUAGAACAAAUAGUGGUUAUAUGGACAUAGGCUAUUGAGUUCUUUGUUAAGUUCUUUGGUGUGAGAUUUUAGAGCAAGUUGAUAAAUGUUUUUUCUCAGUUUCUUCAUUAUCUUACCUCUCAAUGUUACUUUCCUCUUUAAUAAGUCUUUUGUUUUCUGGAUGUUAGUUUAGAUUCUUCUGUUUCAUCUCGGGAUGACAUAGAUGUGGUGUCAAAAUCUGCGUCUAUUGGCAAAGAAAAUGAAGAGUCGAAGAAAGCAUCAGAAAGCUCAGCUGAGAUAUACACCUCCUCGACGGAGUUGGAUGGAUUUGUUACGCAUACCUUUCAAAUCCCAAACGAAAAGCAGAAAACCCGUCGUUAUACAGGGAUACCUGCUCCUUCUACAGUUCCCCAAGUAGAUCUUAUAAAACCUAUCUUCCCAACGGUUGUGGACCCAGUACAAAGUCAAGUGUUUGCAGCUUUGCAAGCUUUAAAGGUACUGCUUUUUUUAACUUUCAGAUGAUUUUGAACUAUCUAGCAAUGCAACACUUUAAUGAUUUGUUAAGAACUAAUUGCCAACCUAUUUAAUUUCAGGUUAUUGAAUCUGAUGCUCUGCCAUAUGAUUUAUGUACACGCCGUGAAUUCGCUCGUUGGGUGGUUUCUGCAAGCAAUGCUCUGUCGAGGUAAUUAUCAAAAAUUUCUCGUGAAACAUGGUGAAAUGUUUCAAUGCCUCACAUUGUGAAAUUACCUUCAUUCAUUACAGGAACUCAGCAUCAAAAGUAUAUCCUGCCAUGUACAUAGAGAAUGUCACUGAGCUUGCAUUUGAUGAUAUCAAACCUGAGGAUCCUGAUUUUCCAUUCAUUCAAGGUGAUCAUUAGAUUAUAUUUUACAUUCAUGCUGAGUCAAUGAAGUUAAGUGUAAUCUGAGUCAAUGAAGUUAUGUUUAAUCUGAUUUCUUCAUUUUUUAUUGGAUAGUAUAGGUUUGGCAGAGGCAGGACUUAUUUCAAGCAAUCUCUCGAACCAAAACAUGCCUUCUACUGAGAGCAGUCAGUUUACUUUCUCCCCAGAAAGGUACAAAUGCUUUUUAUUUUCAUCAAACAUAUAAGUUAUAAAAUCCUAGCUACUGCUAUGUGAUAUCCACUCUUCUUAUCUCUUUUUUUCUCUAUAGCCCUCUAACACGUCAGGAUCUUGUGAGCUGGAAGAUGGCUUUGGAAUUCCGACAGCUCCCAGAAGCUGAUAGCAAGGUUCUUUUUCUAUUCAUUUCUUUCGCCUUUUGUACAUUUGGUCAUUAGAGCGUCGUAAACCUUAAACAACUGCUUUUUCUUUUUCAGAAGCUAUACCAACUUUCUGGUUUUCUUGACAUUGAUCAAAUAAACCCAGAAGCGUGGCCUGCCCUUUUAGCUGACUUAUCCGCUGGAGAACAUGGAAUAACAGCACUUGCUUUUGGUGAGUGAGAUUCUUGCUUCUUAAGUAAUCAUAUCAUUUGAAUUUCAGAACCACGUUUUGUUUUUUGAAAAUCCUGUGUCCCUCUAGGGCGUACCAGAUUGUUUCAACCAUCUAAAGCGGUUACAAAAGCCCAAACAGCUGUGUCUCUUGCAAUUGGUGAUGCUCUGGAAGUAGUUGGUGAGGAGCUAGCUCGUAUCCAAGCAGAUGCUAUGGCUGAAAACGUGGUUUCUACACAUAAUGCGCUGGUUGCUCAGGUCGAGAAGGAUAUAAAUGCUAGCUUCGAGAAAGAGCUUUUAAGAGAAAAAGAAAUAGUAGAUGCAGUGGAGAAAAUGGCUGAAGAAGCAAAGUCGGAGCUGGCAAGAAUUAGAGUUGAGAAAGAAGAGGAGACUCUUGCAUUGGAGAGAGAACGCACAGCGAUUGAAACAGAAAUGGAGGCUCUUGCAAUGAUACGAAAUGAGCUUGAGGAGCAACUCCAAAGCCUUGCGAGUAACAAGGCAGAAAUGUCGUACGAGAAAGAGAGGUUUGAUAGACUUCAAAAGCAAGUGGAGGAUGAGAACCAAGAGAUACUCCGGUUGCAAAACGAGCUUGAAGUUGAAAGGAAAGCUUUAUCCAUAGCCAGGUAUUGAAUAUAUUAUCUUGGAAUUUCUUCUUAUUCAAGCAAAAUCAAAUCAGCAUGAAACAAGUCAAACUUAUGAGAGAUUGAGAGUUUAGCUCCUUCAGGUCAUUUACAGUUUUGAGUUUGUGUUUUAAAGGGAUUGGGCAGAGGAUGAAGCGAGAAGAGCAAGCGAACAAGCAAAGGUGCUAAAAGAAGCUAGAGGACGUUGGGAGAAGUAUGGGCUAAAAGUGAUUGUUGACAGUGACCUCCAUGAACAGACAACAACCGAAUCUACUUGGCUGAACGCAGGAAAGCAAAAUCCUGUCGAAGGAACCAUGAAAAGAGCUGGAAGUCUGAUUGCAAAGCUCAAGAAGAUGGCGAAAGAUGUAGGAGAGAAAUCCAGAGAAGUAAUCUACUUGAUCAUAGAGAGGAUAAGCCUUCUGAUAUCAGCCUUGAAACAACAAGUUCAUGGAAUGGAGAACAAAACCAAAGAACUGAAAAUGAAAACCAAGUCAAAAGCAGAGGAAGUGUGGAGACAAACAAGCUCAAGGAUUAAUGAGAUCAGAAGUGUCUCAGUAGUGAAGGCUAAGGAGACUGUAGAAGAGUUUAAGAACAGAGUCGGGAAACUCGGCGAGAAACUCAAGUCGAAGUAGGUUUGCGGUUUGGUUGAGAUUAAAGAUUUGUUAGACAAAAGAAGUAAAACAAUGAAGUGUCUUUAAAAGAUCUAAUGAAUCCAAUGGUAUUUGAUUAGUUAUUUGAAAAGCAUUUGAGUUAUUUAACGGAUAAUACACAAACUUUCAAAUUUAGGCUAUUUAAAUCACAAACUUUCUACGUAGCUAUUUAAAAUAUGAAUUCUCCGUUAACUUAGUUUUUAAAACAUCAUUUUUCGUUGACAAAGCUAAAAUGAACAUCAUAUCCUCAAAUUUAAAACCGAUCGAUUCGGUUUUUUAGUAGUAUCCAAAACCGAACCGAAUUCUAAAAUUUCGGUUUGGCUCUCCGGAAUUAAUAAUAUGUUUGGUCUAAUUAAAAAAUCUAAACUAAUAUGUGAGAAAGAUAAAAACAACAAGAAAUAAAUAUUCCAGUUCUGUAAAUCGUCCACGUCUUCUAAAACCUCUUACGUAAUCCGCCACGUGUCCACUUCAUCACACUCUUUUUAUCUUCCUUCUUCUCUCCCAAACUCAAAAUUUUCUCACCACAUUUUCCCGAGAAAACUUUAACAAAACCAAAAAAAAAACAAUGUCUGGAGGUGUCGGUCCAACGUACAACGACAUAACCUUACCUAAAGAAGAACAACACCAAACCCAAACAUCAUCCACCGGAAAAACCGCCGGAUUCUUUUCAUUCCGGCAACUAAACAUCCUCGCGAUAAUCAUCGUUCUCGCCGCAAGUGGUCUCGUAACGAUCGAAGAUUUCAUAUUCACGAUCCUCACUCUCAUCUACUUCUUCUUCCUCUCGAAACUAAUCUUCCCACCGCACAACAACCCAAGCCGCGACGCUCCUCUCACAAGCUCCACUAACAAGAUCUUCAGUAUCUACGUAACAUCGGCGGGGAUCGUCGGGCUUUUGAUCCCGAUCUGUUACAUCUUCGAAGGGAUCGUUGAGGAUGACAAGAGCGGCGUGAGCGCAGCUGCACCGCACGUGUUUCUUUUGGCGAGUCAGGUUUUUAUGGAAGGUGUGGCUGCGUCGUUUGGGUUCUCUGCUCCGGCGAGGAUUCUUGUUCCGAUUGUUUAUAACGCUAGGAGGGUUUUGACUCUUGUUGAGUGGAUUUUGAGUGAGUUCUCGAGGGAGUAUGGGACGGGUACGGUGUCUGCACGGCGGAUGUACGCCGGAAAAGUUUUGGCCGCGGUGAAUUUGGGGAUUUGGUCGUUUAAUCUCUUUGGUGUUUUGAUUCCGGUUUAUCUUCCCAGGGCUUUUAAGAGGUAUUACGGCGGUUCUGGCAAGGAGAAUUGAAAACCCGGUUUAGUUCCGGUUUCAAGAAGCAUAAUUGAAACCCGGUUUAGUUUCCCCAGCUCUUGUUGUCUUUUUGUUUGAUCGGUCCGGUUUGGUUUUAGGAGUAAUCGUGAUCUUGAUGUGUUUUUCUUCUUUGUUCUGUAUACUAUUUGGAUGUUUUUUCCUUUGAACAAUCCAGUUUAUGUAGUUCACAGUUAUUUGAGAUUUCUUACGAUUAUAUCCAAAUCUAUGUUUCAAGGUUAUAAAAUGAAAUGUCUACUAGGCUAAGACCGUUCACGAUCUCAGUUGAAACACUUAUGUUUGUGUGAAAUAGCAACGGAAGAAAUAAAAUUUUAUUUCACAAGGCAUGAGUGCUUAUAUCAAUGAUGUAGGAGCUGAUCCAAGAAUAUUCCAAAGUUCCUAACUACAUCAGUACAGAAGUUAACUGCAAACCAAAGCUUAGCUUAUUUAUUGAGUGUGUGUAUAAGUUGUUAGAACCCAAUCUCUUACCUUUUUAUCACCAUCCAUGUUCAAGGGUUGUUAUAGUUUUUUUUGGUAAUGAAGAAGAAGAAGGAGACGUGUGUUUAUUUAGGUUAGCUGACUCCAGAACGUAAGCCAGGGAAGAAACUCCAGCUGUUUCCUGCGACCUUCUCGAUAUUCUCGUCUUUCGUGUUGUCGAAUUUGAAUUCUUUGCUAGAUCCAAUCGAUGAGGAACUCAGCUUCUGUAUUCUCUGCUGUUCCGUCUCUCUAUUCUCUGUACUUUCAAUCUUUUGGAAGCUGUUUCUUCUUCCUCUGUCUGUUGAUGAACUCUCCUCUGUCGCAAUCCUGUCAUUGUUGUUCAUUCUGUCGUGUGAUCGAUUUAGCUUGCUUGCAAGACAACGUGCAACGUCUUCGCCUGUUAACUCAAAUGAAACUCUGUGAUCUGCCACAAUGACUUCAGAGCCGUGAUCCGAAUUGGCUAGUGAGGCGACCUCAGAGAUCUGAUUCUGAAGAGGCCAUGUGGUGUUGCUGGGUGUUAGGUUCCCAGAUAUUAUCUCUGGAGCAUUUGGUGUCAGAGCGCCUGAAGCCAUACCUGAACCGUGCCCAACAGGAGUGAUCGAUCCAGAACCAAACCUCGAUCCCCAUUUACGGGCUGUGAAAUGCUCAAAACCAAGGAACUUUGGAGGCUCGCCUAUUCGAAACUCGACCAUGGGUGAUUUACCAGGGUAAGGAGAAGAUGUACCAGAGUUUGAAAUCACUGACCCCGGGGAGAUUAGAUUACCACCACCAGGACUUCCUGGACACACCUGAUUAGACCGAAACUCAUAAUGUGAAGAUGAGAACUUUUGGUUUAUCCCACUGCUAUCUCUUCGAGUUAGCUCCAAUGAAGAUGUAAGCAACUGAGCAAAGGGCACCUCAGGUGACGAAGGUGUAACUGACGAUUCCGGAGGCGGAGUAUAUGGUGCAGUGGAGGGCUCCGUGAUAAACGCAGAGAACACCGGAGGAGUGACAGGUUGAGUUUCGUUAGCGUAAGGUCCAACAGUAAACACCGAUUGAGGUUCCUUAGGAGAAAAUGUAUUGCUGGUAAGAGAAAGUGGACCAACAGGCGAAUGAGAAACAGAUGAAGGAUCCGAUGGAAGAAACGAAGCUGGAGAUGAAGGAGGAGCUAUAAAGGGAAGAACAACUGUAGUUGAAGUAGCUGAGUUUUGAACAGUAACCACCGGAACUCCAGAUGCAACAGGUUCAGGUACAAGCACAGCAUUACCAAUCCGUUUGUUGUUCUUUUGAGAUCCAAAACACGAAUACAAACUCCAACAUUUUGCCCAUCUCCUCUUCUAUAUAAAACCAAACACAAGGAAAUUAGAUUUAUGAUCUACAGAACCAAAAAUAAACAACACUCUUGAAAAUCUUGAUCCCCUUAAUAGAGACAUAGAUCACUGUUUCAACCAAAACUUUCUCAAAGUAAAAAGCUUUAUGACAUAAAGUAGAGUAAUAAAGAACAUUGCAAAUCUUUUGUAGUUUUCCAAUAAUUACCUAAACCUUUGUAUAGUUCACUUUUGGAGGAAACUAUACUAUCUGAGGAAAAUUACUAAGCAUGAACUGAAAUAAGUAUAUAUUUCUUUAAAAAACACUUUUUAACCUUUAUAAUCAUGAAUGCUAUUAUGACUUGUAAAGCACAAACCCACAACAAAAUUGAAUAAAAGCAAACAAAUUAUUCUUUCGUCAACCAAAACAACUCUUCUUUUCACCUUUUUUUUUUCGAGUGACGAAAUUGUAAGAAAUCCACAACACACAAAGAAAGAAUUAACAGACAAUCAAAGUCGUGAAAUCAAGAACUAAGCUCACGACCACGAAUUGCAUAAAUCUUAGCUCUGAUCCAAGAACCUAGUACAAUAGAACAAAAUUAGAAAGCUGGAUCUAAAACUUCGAGAAUCUAUCUAAUUCGAUUUCGUAAAGACAGUUCUUCCAUAACUUUUUUCAACCGUAUUUUAAGCAUAUAUGAAUGAUUGAAGCUGAAAUGUCUAGUGGAUAACCACACAAAACAAAAAAAAAAAAAAUUCGAAAUCUCAGUUUCGUACAUCUAAUCAAAAAUUCGAAACUAAUCACAGAUCAUUUUACUCACAGAAAAAAUAAACAUAAGGUAGGACUAUAGUGACGAUCUACCGUCAGAUUCAUAAACAAACAACACUGAUCUGAAUCAUAAUCACAUUUAUAAUCUCGGUGGUAGUAGUGAAAUAAAAACCUGAACAGAGGAAGGCUGAACACGAGACUCGGCGGUGAUGAUAGCAGUAGCGGCGGCGUUAACAGUCUCAACGCUAUUAUUAACGUUCCUCAUCUUUAGACUACAGAUUCAAACCGACAAUAACAUCCAGAUUCGAUACUACUACUACUACUAUUACUCUUACACUUGGGGAUCUCUGAGAGACAGAGAGAGAGAGAGAGAGAAUUUUCCGAGAAAAUCGAGAAGAAAAUAAUGAAAAUGAGAAUAGUUUAAAAGAAAAAAGAAAAAAAGGUUUUAUGUAUAAAAACGGAUGGGAUUGUGAAUUCUCUCUCUUCUCUCUCUCUGUCUUGGAGGGGGGUCCGGUCGUUAUCUUUUUUUUUUUUCUCAAAUGAAAUAUUAUAUUAAACAUCCGAACAAUACAAAGUUCAACAUACAAGCCUCUUAAGAGAUUACAGAAAAGUUGAGGCCCAAACCAGAGCCUACCAAAAUAACACCGACUCCUGAGAAGAAAUAUCAUCUUUGAUCUUUUGACUCAAUCUAAAAACACGUGUCAUCAAGAGGAUAAACCUCAAUACGUGUUAGAUGAGUAAUCAGAAGGAUUCCGAUAACAACCUCUGCUGUUUGAGCAGUGAUUCCGGUGAGAGAAUCAUCGUCGAAAAACAAUCGAACUGUAUUGUGAUUCUUUUGGUAAUCACGGAAGCUUAACCAUCAAAGCUUCAUGAUAGUUAACAGCAUAAGGAAAUCCAAAUAAGCGUCGGAAAAUUCUUCGCUCCUUCAAACUAGAGAUGUCAUCUCUAAGCGAUUCCUGUAACUCGAAAUCUUCAAAAGAUCUAGCCAGAGAUUAAUAGAUUUAAGGCACACAACACUAACCCUAAACCAGAUAUGAGGCGCUUAUUAAAAAAACCAUAAAAUCUAAAGAUAAUAAAAAGUAAAAACAAACUAUAACAAUCAGUUUAAGACCGAUUCAAAACAAAAGCAACUAUUACGCCGGCCAAACCGCAUGUAGAAGUCGAUUUGCCGGAUGAGAACCGACCAUCUCCGCUAACAGAGCCAGAAGAUGUCGAGAAGAGAACCAACCAACCAUAGCAUGAGAAUUGCCAAUGGAUGUUGGGCUGAAGCCGGUUAAAACUAACCGGACGGCCUUGCCGGAGUUUCCGGACGGCGGACUAAAGAACAAAGUUCGACUCUCUCUCUAAAGGAUAUGAAAGAGAGAAGAGAGAGAGU